rnacentral:rRNA from 1 species
GACGAACGCUGGCGGCGUGCUUAACACAUGCAAGUCGAACGGAAAGGCCCUUCGGGGUGCUCGAGUGGCGAACGGGUGAGUAACACGUGAGUAACCUGCCCUGGUCUUGGGGAUAACCUUCGGAAACGGGGGCUAAUACCGAAUAUUUCCUUCCUGUCGCAUGGUGGGUGGGGGAAAGUUUUUUCGGACUGGGAUGGGCUCGCGGCCUAUCAGCUUGUUGGUGGGGUGAUGGCCUACCAAGGCUUUGACGGGUAGCCGGCCUGAGAGGGCGACCGGCCACACUGGGACUGAGACACGGCCCAGACUCCUACGGGAGGCAGCAGUGGGGAAUAUUGCACAAUGGACGCAAGUCUGAUGCAGCGACGCCGCGUGAGGGAUGACGGCCUUCGGGUUGUAAACCUCUUUCGCCAAGGACGAAGCGAAAGUGACGGUACUUGGAGAAGAAGCGCCGGCCAACUACGUGCCAGCAGCCGCGGUAAGACGUAGGGCGCGAGCGUUGUCCGGAUUUAUUGGGCGUAAAGAGCUCGUAGGCGGCUCAUUGCGUCAACCGUGAAAUCCUGCUGCUCAACGGCAGGUCUGCGGUUGAUACGGGUGGGCUGGAGUUCGGUAGGGGAGACUGGAAUUCCUGGUGUAGCGGUGAAAUGCGCAGAUAUCAGGAGGAACACCGGUGGCGAAGGCGGGUCUCUGGGCCGAUACUGACGCUGA